UACAUUUGACGCCAGACACUUCGAUCCAAAUCCAAAAAACAUAAACAAACAAAAAGAAGCCCUAACAUUUGGUUUGUGUUUGUUUGUUUUCAGUCUCCGGAGUUUCCGUCAGAGCUGCUGACAGAUGACAGCCGGACUCUGCAUCGUUAACGCGGUGUUUGGUCAAGACGCAGAAAACACACACAGGACCUGAGGAGCAGGACUUCCCCCCCCACACCCCCUCUACUCCUCCUCUUCCUCCAGGCCUGGAUUUUUUUUUUUUUUUUUUUCUGAAAUCAACAGACUUUUGCUUAUUAUGGGACAAUCUGAUGUGAUGUGUUUUUCUGUUUGGACACCUCAUUAUUAUUAUUAUUAUUAUAAUUAUUAUUAUUUAAUUUAAGACUUCUUAUUUGUGGGUCCUUUCUGGAAAUGGAAGGCGAGUUAUAUGGGAUUAUUUCCCCUCCCUCUACCCUAACCUCCCCCCUCCCCUCCCGUCUCUCCCCCCCGUUUGAACUCUUCGCUUUUUUUGCGGAGGUGGAAACGUGUACAGAACAGACUUGGGUUAGUUACUGUAAAAACAAAACAAAAAAAGUUUAGUCUUGUCUUGUCAGAAAUGUUGGCACAUGAAGGACUGGACGAUGUCUAAAGCAUAAAAAAAGUGGAAGAAUGAGACCUUGUGAACUCUCUCUCUCUCUGUCUAAUCUUGUACAGUUGCAGAAAUUUGAAACUUCUGCAAAAAAAAAAAAGUGUAAUGUUGUACUUAAUUAUGCUGAAACUUUUUAUAAAAGUAUUGUAAAUUGCA